AUCCACUCCUGGACUUGGGGGAGGGCAGGACUCUGUUCUUCUGUUUAAUCAGUAAUUGGUUAUAUUUCAGCAUUCUAUUUCAGAAAUAUAUGAACUACAAUUUCCCCUUAAGGGUUUUCCUCUCAUCAAGCAAUCAAGCAAAGAAAAAAAAGGCUUAUUUCUGUUGUGGCCGUCUUACAGGUGGGGACAGCAAGAGAAUGGAAAACUGUUGACUAGAGAGAGAUGGCCUGGAGUCUCUCCCACCAGGCUGAGACAUUACAACAAAGGACUCUGAGUGAAAUGUUGAAAGCAUUUGGUGUAGAGGAGCCUCUGUGGCAACACAAUGCAAUCCUAGAGCGUUGGUCUGCCUGCCUUCCUGCCCGCCUGCCUGCUGUAACCUUUACCGGGGCACGCAGUCAGGGGAGCCCCUCUGAAAGCUGAAGGCUAAUUUGUCUACGUCACAUAAAUUAUGGUUGUCUGGAGGGUCUGGAUGAGCGAUCAAUCUUCAACAAAAAGGGCAGUCAAUGAGAUAUUGACUCUUCAAAAGCUACCCACUUAGAGACGGACUGACUGGCUGGCUGGAGAGGAGAGGAGGAGAAGACCCCUUGUGACCUGCCGACCUCUCUCUCUCACGCACGCACGCACGCACGCACGCACGCACGCACGCACGCACGCACGCACGCACACACACACACACACACACACACACACACACACACACACACACACACACACACACACACACAUUAACCCAAUCCCUGUAGUCAAACUGACAAUAUAUGACACUUCAGGGUCAUACAUUUUUUUAUCAAGCUGACAGAGGGUUUCAAAAUCAUACUUCGUCCAACCUAUGUUCCACUCAGUUUCUACACCCACUCUUCUUUAGCCAAUGGGAGAGAGUAUGAUAGGAAGCACAUCAUAGCCACAGGCAUCUGAAUCAGUGAUGAACCAAGCCCUUUUUGUUACAUUCUGUGCAGAACUCUGUCUACACAGGCAGUAUUGUCAGUUUGACAAUUAACCACAUCCUUUAAUUCUAUAUUAAAGAAAACAAAUGUAUACAUGCUUAGGCUGUGGCAUUUCUGAAAUCCCUUGUAGGAUUGUGUCUUUCCUUACCUUGAUUCUUAAAUUCCCCUGUCUAGAUGAUAUUUAUCCUGUCUAUAAAAUUCUGACGCAUACUGUUUUUCUAUCACCUCUCUUUUGCUCUCUCAAAACUGAAUUUACUUUCUGUCCAAUUUUCUAGGAGUAACAAGCUUGCCCUCUUGUGGUUCAACAAGUGAUGCUCAUAACUCUAGUCUGAAUGAUGAUUGGCCAGAGAGUCCAGUCUCCAGAAGGUCCAUCUUCAAGUUAAGCACUCCGAACUACAUUGCAGGCAUUCUGUUAUCAACCAAUGGUUUUGUGCCACGCCAUCAACUGGGCAGCAGUCGAGCAGAAUGCUUUAUCAUAUUAUGGGGUUAUAGCUGAUAUGUUAAAAACACCUAUCCAGGCAUUGUAAGAUCUAGCAGGCGUCUGCAAUUUAGUCAGGCAGGAACUCCCCAAUUAGUAAUUGAGGUCUAGUUCCUGCCUGUCUACAUUGCAGCAAAUGUCAGAUCUUACAAGAUCUGAAUAGGUAAUAAAAUAUAUUAGCCAACCACAUCAUAGUAUAUAGCAAUCUGAUGACAGAAAAAUAUUUGUAAGUAUGGCUUUAGACUAGCAAAAUUAUUUAACCAUUAUAUUAGAUAGAUUAUAGAUAGAUUAAACAGGUAACACACUUAACCAAAAUGGAGGUCUGGUGAAGUGACCAAACAAUAAUAUCAAAAUGUAUUGAGAA